UACGUAGGGUGCGAGCGUUGUCCGGAUUUAUUGGGCGUAAAGAGCGUGUAGGCGGCCAAACAGGUCAGCUGUGAAAACUCGAGGCUCAACCUCGAGACGUCGGUUGAAACCGUAUGGCUAGAGUCCGGAAGAGGAGAGUGGAAUUCCCGGUGUAGCGGUGAAAUGCGCAGAUAUCGGGAAGAACACCCGUGGCGAAGGCGGCUCUCUGGGACGGUACUGACGCUGAGACGCGAAAGCGUGGGGAGCAAACAGG
rnacentral:rRNA from 1 species